rnacentral:rRNA from 1 species
CCCUUAGAUGUUCUGGGCCGCACACGCGCUACACUGAAGGAGGCAGCGUGUACUCCUGGAUCGAAAGAUUUGGGUAACCCGCGAAUCUCCUUCGUGCUAGGGAUUGAGGUUUGCAAUUAUCCUUCAUGAACGAGGAAUUCCCAGUAAGUGCAAGUCAUAAGCUUGCGCUGACUACGUCCCUGCCCUUUGUACACACCGCCCGUCGCUACUACCGAUUGAAUGAUUUAGUGAGGACUUCGGACUGGGACCAAUGCGGCUUUCGGGCUGCGUCGGUAUUCUGGAAAGAUGUCCAAACUGUAUCAUUUAGAGGAAGUAAAAGUCGUAGCA